rnacentral:rRNA from 1 species
AUACGGAGGGUCCGAGCGUUAUCCGGAAUCAUUGGGUUUAAAGGGUCCGUAGGCGGGAAUCUAAGUCAGUGGUGAAAUCUUGCAGCUCAACUGUAAAAUUGCCAUUGAUACUGGAUUUCUUGAAUUAGUGUGAAGUGGUUAGAAUGUGUAGUGUAGCGGUGAAAUGCAUAGAUAUUACACAGAAUACCAAUUGCGAAGGCAGAUCACUAACACUAUAUUGACGCUAAGGGACGAAAGCGUGGGGAGCGAACAGAAUUAGAAACCCCAGUAGUCC